CUGGUGAGUUUUUGAAAUCACCUAUACAUUUCAUGAUUCUAUUUGUUGGUUGUACAGAAUUGUAUUGACUCAAUUAGUCUGAGAUCAAGCGUAACAUAUUCUUUUAGAAAUGAUAAAUUGUUUCAAUCAUACUUUUUAAUUGCUCAAAAGAGCUUUUUUUUUGGUUAAAUCCUGAUAUAUUGUGACACUGCCACUAAGGCCUUGGCCUAGUCACCAUGGGAGCUCAAACAUUUCCUCUCCCACAAAUGUGUGUAUGGGUGGAUAUCUUCCCCUAUAUUAGGAGGUGCAGAUUUCUGAGCUGAUCUUGGUUGACGUCUGGGCUGUAAUAAGUGUAUUUAUUUAGUUUUGAGUAGACUUUAGAUUGUAAUAUUUGUAGAUUGUGACCAAUUCUUUAAAAAAUGCAUAAUAUUGUGUUUGAUGUAUUGGAUUGAUUAUGAUUUUAAAAUGUAUUCAAUUGGUUGUAGUUGUGAUUUAAAUGAGCAUAGAGAAUGUUUUGUAAUCUUUUGUUGUCUUUCAUUUACUUGUUUAGGCGA
rnacentral:lncRNA from 1 species